rnacentral:rRNA from 1 species
AUUGAACGCUGGCGGCAGGCUUAACACAUGCAAGUCGAGCGGGGUGAUGGUGCUUGCACUAUCACUUAGCGGCGGACGGGUGAGUAAUGCUUAGGAAUCUGCCUAUUAGUGGGGGACAACAUCUCGAAAGGGAUGCUAAUACCGCAUACGUCCUACGGGAGAAAGCAGGGGAUCACUUGUGACCUUGCGCUAAUAGAUGAGCCUAAGUCGGAUUAGCUAGUUGGUGGGGUAAAGGCCUACCAAGGCGACGAUCUGUAGCGGGUCUGAGAGGAUGAUCCGCCACACUGGGACUGAGACACGGCCCAGACUCCUACGGGAGGCAGCAGUGGGGAAUAUUGGACAAUGGGGGGAACCCUGAUCCAGCCAUGCCGCGUGUGUGAAGAAGGCCUUAUGGUUGUAAAGCACUUUAAGCGAGGAGAAGGCUCUUUUGGUUAAUACCCAAGAUGAGUGGACGUUACUCGCAGAAUAAGCACCGGCUAGCUCUGUGCCAGCCGCCGCCGUAA